UUGACUUUAAUUGAUCAACGUGCUGGAUCCUUCUCAUCAACCGACUCGGGGGAUCGGAGAUCCCGACAGAAGUGUUGAAUGACGAUAAACUGAAGGGUGAAGCCUUGAAUGACGAUGAAGUGAUGAUAAACACUUCAUCCACGGUUACCUAACCCUUCGAACACAGUUCAGUGCACUAACCCCUGGGCGCCAACAAAUCGUGUUUGGCACCCAGCGCCAAAGGUGGAGAUGGGGACCUCCAGCCACAACGACGUGGACCUCAGCUGGAUCCCUCAGGAGACCCUCAACCAGAUCAUGCAGAGUCGCAGAGACAAAGCGUCUCCCAGAAGAUCUCCUCGCAAGAGG